AGAGUUUGAUCAUGGCUCAGAACGAACGCUGGCGGCAUGCCUAACACAUGCAAGUCGAACGAGACCUUCGGGUCUAGUGGCGCACGGGUGCGUAACGCGUGGGAAUCUGCCCUCUGGUACGGAAUAACUCAGGGAAACUUGAGCUAAUACCGUAUAAUGACUCCGGUCCAAAGAUUUAUCGCCUGAGGAUGAGCCCGCGUAGGAUUAGCUAGUUGGUGAGGUAAAAGCUCACCAAGGCGACGAUCCUUAGCUGGUCUGAGAGGAUGAUCAGCCACACUGGGACUGAGACACGGCCCAGACUCCUACGGGAGGCAGCAGUGGGGAAUAUUGGACAAUGGGCGAAAGCCUGAUCCAGCAAUGCCGCGUGAGUGAUGAAGGCCUUAGGGUUGUAAAGCUCUUUUACCCGGGAUGAUAAUGACAGUACCGGGAGAAUAAGCCCCGGCUAACUCCGUGCCAGCAGCCGCGGUAAUUC
rnacentral:rRNA from 1 species